rnacentral:lncRNA from 1 species
AUGAAUUCUUCCCACACAUCCAUGCUUUCCAUUUAUUUUGUCAGAUGGUGCAAGACAUCUUUGUCCAACAUUUGUUCCUGGCUUUUCUUCAGUUCAGAAGAAUUCCUUAUGGAUGAGAGUUCUUCCAGAACCAGUGAAUUCCUACAGGAAGAUUUCAGAAUAAAACAACCAAAUGCUGUUUCCAGCCCUGUUCUAGGCUUGGAGGGUGUUGGGAGACCCUCUCUUGUCUUACAGUGCAGGAGUGUCAGGAUCCAUGGGUGGUACGCCUUGUGUUCCAUCUGCUGCAUCUGCGCCAUUUACCAUCAGGUUGAAGAGGUUCCCCAUGUACAUGAUAGCUCUAUGCUUUGGAAUCCUAAAGUAGGCAUUUCUAUUAUUGAGACCUCUUCUUUGAUAUCGAUAGUUGAGGUGUUUUUCUCUUGCAGUAUCUGAAAAUUAAAGUUCAGGCGUUAAAGGGAUUAUUUGCAGAGGUCUUUGUAUGCCCUGGGCUUGAUUUCUCAUUUGCACGAUUCUAAAUGAGAAUAAUACUGACAAAGUGAGAAAAGAAUCAGGCCAGAAUAUGUUAAUUUACAUUUUCAGCUUCAGAGCAAAACACAAAUGUACUCUUCAGGCAAAUUUUAAUAAGCUUUUGGUCUUUGAAAAUGUAAAUAAUUUAUUGAGAUUCUACUGCAUUUGCCAUGUUUCAGAGGAGUAAAUGCUAAAAUCCACAAUAUAAAAUAACUCAGAAACAAUGGAAGUGGAUGGAACAGUGACAAAAACAUGCAUUACGACCUUAAAAUAUUAGUUAAUAACACUGAAUUGAGUUAGGGAAUGUAGAUCCAAACAUGAAAGAUAUUUCCCACUUUUGUUUUAAGGGCAGCUUCAACUGAUACUUUGUUUACCCCUAAUUUUCUGCUGUAUCAUGCUUCCAGUUCUCAGUAGUUUUGAGACAGAUAAUGGAUGGCAGAACUUGGUCUUAGUAUUUCUAACAAAAUGUCCUUAAACUAAACAACUCUUUCUAUCUGAAGAAUCUUUGUGACAUCCCAGUGUUUGAGUAUUUUCUGCAAUGCUAUUUUUUCUCUAGAUGUAAUAAUUGUAUCAUUCAAGAAUGAAAAAGAAGGGGAGGAAACAGUUUGACUAAUGUAUAAAUAAAAUCUGGCUAUUUAGCGCUCUUAAAUCUGUG